rnacentral:rRNA from 1 species
ACUCCUACGGGAGGCAGCAGUGGGGAAUAUUGCACAAUGGGCGCAAGCCUGAUGCAGCCAUGCCGCGUGUGUGAAGAAGGCCUUCGGGUUGUAAAGCACUUUCAGUCGUGAGGAAGGUAGUGUAGUUAAUAGCUGCAUUAUUUGUACGUUAGCGACAGAAGAAGCACCGGCUAACUCCGUGCCAGCAGCCGCGGUAAUACGGAGGGUGCGAGCGUUAAUCGGAAUUACUGGGCGUAAAGCGCAUGCAGGUGGUUUGUUAAGUCAGAUGUGAAAGCCCGGGGCUCAACCUCGGAAUAGCAUUUGAAACUGGCAGACUAGAGUACUGUAGAGGGGGUAGGAAUUUCAGGUGUAGCGGUGAAAUGCGUAGAGAUCUGAAGGAUACCGGUGGCGAAGGCGGCCCCUGGACAGAUACUGACACUCAGAUGCGAAAGCGUGGGAGCAAACAGGAUUAGAUACCCCUGGUAGACUGUCA